rnacentral:rRNA from 1 species
AUUGAACGCUGGCGGCAGGCCUAACACAUGCAAGUCGAACGACCGGCGGACGGGUGAGUAAUGUCUGGGAGACUGCCUGAUGGAGGUGGGUAACUACUGGAAACGGUAGCUAAUACUGCAUCCCAUCAGAUGUGCCCAGAUGGGAUUAGCUGGUAGGUGGGGUAACGGCUCACCUAGGCGACGAGCCCUACCUGGUCUGAGAGGAUGACCAGCCACACUGGAACUGAGACACGGUCCAGACUCCGACGGGAGGCAGCAGUGGGGAAUAUUGCACAAUGGGCGCAAGCCUGAUGCAGCCAUGCCGCGUGUGUGAAGAAGGCCUUCGGGUUGUAAAGCACUUUCAGCGGGGAGGCGUUACCCGCAGAAGAAGCACCGGCUAACUCCGUGCCAGCAGCCGCGGUAAUUC